ensembl:snoRNA SNORD116 Small nucleolar RNA SNORD116
GCAUCGAUGAUGAUUUCCAGUCAAACAUUCUUUGGAAAAGCUGAACAAAAUGAGUGAAAACUCAGUACCACCACUCUCAUGGAAACUGAGGUAC